GGUCAGUAGGUUGGUCGUGCCACCGGUACGUACUGGUCUCACUGAUUCCUCCUUCCUGAAGAACCGUAAUGCCAUUAAUUUGGUGUUGCGGGGAAACAGGACUGUUACUUUGAAAAAAUUAGAGUGCUUAAAGCAAGCUAACGCUUGAAUACAUUAGCAUGGAAUAAUGAAAUAGGACGAUCGAUCCUAUUUUGUUGGUUUCUAGGAUUGACGUA
rnacentral:rRNA from 1 species